rnacentral:rRNA from 1 species
AUAAAACAACAUAAAUAAAUCUAACUUAACUUGUUUUUGGUUGGGGCGACCAAGGGGAAAAACAAAACCCCCUUAUCGAUUGAGUAUUCAACAUACUUAAAAAUUAAAACGAAUAGUUUUAAUUAAUAGAACAUCUAACGAACAAUGACCCAGGACACAUCCUGAUCAAUGAACCAAGUUACCCUAGGAAUAACAGCGA